rnacentral:misc_RNA from 1 species
AACCAUAGAAACCUGCGGAGUACCUGCGGAAGGAUCAUUACAGAGUUGCAAAACUCCCUAAACCAUUGUGAACGUUACCUAAACCGUUGCUUCGGCGGGCGGCCCGGGUCCUUCCCGGCGCCCAUCGGCCCUCGCGGGCGCCCGCCGGAGGUAAACCAAACUAUUGCAUUGUAUGGCCUCUCUGAGUCUUCUGUACUGGAUAAGUCAAAACUUUUAACAACGGAUCUCAGAUCGGAAGAG